rnacentral:rRNA from 1 species
CUACGGGGCGCUGCAGUGGGGAAUAUUGGGCAAUGGGCGAAAGCCUGACCCAGCAACGCCGCGUGAAGGAAGAAGGUUUUCGGAUCGUAAACUUCUAUCCCAGGUGAAGAUAAUGACGGUAGCCUGGAAGGAAGCCCCGGCUAACUACGUGCCAGCAGCCGCGGUAAUACGUAGGGGGCAAGCGUUGUCCGGAAUGAUUGGGCGUAAAGGGCGCGUAGGCGGCCUUCUAAGUCCGAUGUGAAAGUCCUGCUUUUAAGGUGGGAAUUGCAUUGGAAACUGGAGGGCUUGAGUGCAGGAGAGGUAAGGGGAAUUCCCGGUGUAGCGGUGAAAUGCGUAGAGAUCGGGAGGAACACCAGUGGCGAAGGCGACUUACUGGACUGUAACUGACGCUGAGGCGCGAAAGUGUGGGGAGCAAACAGGAUUAGAUACCCCGGUAGUC